rnacentral:rRNA from 1 species
UACGUAGGGUGCAAGCGUUGUCCGGAAUUAUUGGGCGUAAAGAGCUCGUAGGCGGUCUGUCGCGUCUGCUGUGAAAAUCCAGGGCUCAACCCUGGACCUGCAGUGGGUACGGGCAGACUAGAGUGCGGUAGGGGAGAUCGGAAUUCCUGGUGUAGCGGUGAAAUGCGCAGAUAUCAGGAGGAACACCGGUGGCGAAGGCGGAUCUCUGGGCCGUAACUGACGCUGAGGAGCGAAGGCAUGGGGAGCGAACAGG